rnacentral:lncRNA from 1 species
UGAUUUCACUUCCUAGUUCAUGGGAAAUUUAGAGAUCAUCAAUAGAGAAUUUUCUUGACAUCAUGCCCCAGCCACCCAAAAUGCUAUCUGCAUUCACAUUCAUCUUGACUUCCUUUCUUCUUGUCUCAAUGGAUCAGAGCAAACUCAUUCACCAGUUCUCUGGGUCCUCCACAAUCACUUUCUUUUAUCUACAGAGGCCGUAUUCCAUUAACUAUUCAUUCCCUUUUAUCCUCAAUCUUUCAUUUCUUUGCUUUGACUCUUUAAUUUCCAAGAUAAUCAUUGCCCAUAUUUUAUUACAUAAAAUGCUCUUAUUAUAUAUUUCCUAUUAAACAAAAUAUAUUUAAGUUAAAUAGUAUAUAAUUGUCCCAUAAACACUUAGUCUCAUCUGCCUGUAGUCUCAUUGGUUAAAAUCAAGUAUUUAUCAAGUUUUCUAUAAUUCUGAAUCAGAAAAGGUACAGCACAAAACAGACAGAAACAGGGUUAGCGCAUUUAAGUUAAAAGCAUUGUGCAUUUUAAAUAUUUUGGUCAUACUUUAUAAUAAAAUAUUUUGGCAAAAAUAAAAUAUAAGGUUUAGUUUAUUUUCUAUUAAUGGUAGAUCUGGAGAGUAUUUUACAUUUCUAAACAGUGUCUACUUAAUUUGACUGUUUUCACAUUUGUUUCUGAAAACACUGCUAUAAGCUUUUCAGAAUUUUGAGAUUAAAAGCACCUAAAAAUAAGAUAAAAUAAAAUUUAAGUAAGAUAUGUUUGAUGCUCCAAAAGUUGACAAAUUCACAAACUUACUUUAAGUGUCUUAUAUGAUAUAUGCCACCACAGAAACUUUAUUGCCUGCUAAGACUUAUUUGACUAAAUCUAAUCUUUAAAACAAUAAUCCUGAAAGUCUCCUUGAAACUUAUUUGAAAAUUAGGAUGGGAAUUCAAAAAUUUUUAAAAAAUGAAAAGCACAGUUGCAAAAAAAAAGUUAUUCUAGUGGCCGUAGUUGUUAUGGCACAAAAACACAUGAAAAACCAGUUUUUGCUAAUAUGUACAACUAAGUUCAAAUAAGAUAUGUAAGAUACACACACACACACAGUAUACAUACAUAUAACUUGGGCUCCAGAGGGGAAACUGAUGAAAACCUUACAUAACGAGCCAUCUGGCUCAUUUAUCACUGACAUCUCAAUGACAAUUUUAAUGAAGAUGUUCAUUAUUUUUUUCAUUCUUACUCAAAUGUCUAUCAUUAAGAAGAGUGUGAGAUGUAUAAGGCUAAUAAAGGAAGUGAGAGUGUGGUGAAUUAAGGGAUAAGUAUUAUGUACAAUUGCCUUUUCAAAAAAGGUAUUUUUACUGUGGAAGAAAUUCAUGCAGAGAUGCCUGUGGAAGAGUAUCAAUAAGAAAACAAAACACCUUUAACACUAUGACAUACUGAUUAUAAUAUACUAUGAUAUGUAUUAUUACAGCAUUACUUACACAUUCUACUUUAGGCAAUGUAAUCUACUUCUGAAUGACCUUGUUAAUUUUUAAGGCAUCAGUGCAUCAAGGGCAAAGCUCCAUAAAAUAAAUAUAAAAACAAGAAAGCAUUAGCUAAUUUGUGGCAUAGAGAAUGAUCACUGUAUAUUACAUCUGGUGACUACUUCCAUGUAGGUAAUAAAUUG